AUUGAACGCUGGCGGCAUGCCUUACACAUGCAAGUCGAACGGUAACGGGCCUUCGGGUGCCGACGAGUGGCGAACGGGUGAGUAAUGCAUCGGAACGUACCUUUCAGUGGGGGAUAACGUAGCGAAAGUUACGCUAAUACCGCAUAUUCUGUGAGCAGGAAAGCAGGGGAUCGCAAGACCUUGCGCUGAUUGAGCGGCCGAUGUCAGAUUAGCUAGUUGGUGAGGUAAAGGCUCACCAAGGCGACGAUCUGUAGCGGGUCUGAGAGGAUGAUCCGCCACACUGGAACUGAGACACGGUCCAGACUCCUACGGGAGGCAGCAGUGGGGAAUUUUGGACAAUGGGGGCAACCCUGAUCCAGCCAUGCCGCGUGAGUGAAGAAGGCCUUCGGGUUGUAAAGCUCUUUCGGCCGGGAAGAAAUCGCAUGGGUUAAUACCCUGUGCGGAUGACGGUACCGGCAUAAGAAGCACCGGCUAACUACGUGCCAGCACGG
rnacentral:rRNA from 1 species